rnacentral:misc_RNA from 1 species
GAUGAAGAACGUAGCAAAAUGCGAUAAGUAAUGUGAAUUGCAGAAUUCAGUGAAUCAUCGAAUCUUUGAACGCACAUUGCGCCCGCCAGUAUUCUGGCGGGCAUGCCUGUCUGAGCGUCAUUUCAACCCUCACGCCCCUAGGGCGUGGUGUUGGGGAUCGGCCAAGGCCCGCAAGGGACGGCCGGCCCCUAAAUCUAGUGGCGGACCCAUCGUGGCCUCCCCUGCGAAGUAGUAAUAUAUUCCGCAUCGGAUAGCGAUGAGCCCCUGCCGUUAAACCCCCAACUCUUUCAAGGUUGACCUCAGAUCAGGUAGGAAUACCCGCUGAACUUAAGCAUAUCAAUAAGCGGAGGA